ensembl:lncRNA
CAGGCUCUUCCGCCUUCCGCCUCACAGCUCCGCCCAACGUGGCCAGAAGCCGCUGGCGCCGCCCCCGCGAGGGUCCUCUCGCGAGAGCAACCCAGACAGCCUGUCAUCUGCUCGGUCCGCCACCGCCUGGAGCCGUGCCCCGAAAUAAGAGAGGGCAGAGGGCGGCCGCCAGAACGAGGGCCAGGGCAUCGGAGGGGGCUGCCGCAGGCUCGGCCCCCAAACCAGGACCGCCGGGCUCCGGGGGCGCACGCCGACCCGGCUCCAUCUAGUCGCAUCCAGCCGGGCCCUGGACGAGCACCUCCCGGGCCGGAAGCGGUGACUGGGUUUAACCAGGGGCGGCAGGGGGCUUCGGAGCCCGUGAUCGUCCGGCUUUUCAGCAUCUUCGUCACUGCUCACCACUCCAGCCGCUGAAAACCUGGAGGCACGAGCGGACGUCCCAGCAGGAAACCCGGGGACGACCUCAUCUGAGAUGUGAUGACAGCGCGUGUUCUCGCGUCCCACGGAGGCGCCAGCUGCGCCCCAGGCGGCCUCACCCAUCCCGUAACUCCCCUGCAGGGCGGCCGCGGCGUCCCCGUUGUAGCGAGGAGGAAACGGAGGCUCAGACGGGUUAGAGGACCGCGCCCAAGGCUGCACAGAGCCAGGCUCUGCCUCUCGGCCGGGUGGCGUCUCCAACCGGGAGCCCCAGGCGGUGCUGCUGAGUGACCAGCCGCAGGCCCGCGCUUGGACCCUGAGGUCUCGGGAAAGGCUCGGCGAAGACCCCUGUGCACUUGGUGAUGGGCUGCGCACUCCAUCCCUUGUCCCGGAGGGGCCAGCUGCCGAGCUCGGGUCUCCAGGGGAAGACAGCGGCUCACCAGUACCCACCGGAGCCCCCUGCAUGCCUCUGGCCUUGGUGCUGCCCCUGGACCCGGCCUUCAUCCCUGCGCCUUGCUCGCGCUGGGCCUGGAGGAAGGAGGAGGCCGGCCGUGGACUCCAGGUCUAAUAAGGAUGCUCUCACUAUGGAGGGACCACUUCUUAACCACAGAGCCGGCGGAGAGUGAAAACUGGGCCCCCUCAGAUACACUUCUGUGAGGGAAUUCCUGAGGGACUAUUAAAAUCGCCCCAGCUUAUCUUCAUUCAUAUCAAAUGAGCAUUUGUCUCACGCCCAAAAUGAUACGUUGGUAGAGCCAAACCAAUGUAUUCAGCCAUGCACAGGAAACAAAGCAAAGCCAUAUUCAGAAAAUAAUGAGAAAGAGUCAUUAAGUCAAAGGAAAAAGGAAAACAAGUCAAUAAAUCAGCUUUGUAUGGCUCUAAAGAAGAGACAAAGAACCCCGAGGUGACAUGAGCGUUAAACCUUGUUAUUUAUAUGGGAAAACUUACUCUGUUUGGACAUGCUCUUGACUCAUAUCUCUUCAUCGGCUCAGGCUCCCACUGAUUUCAGAUAAAAGCCCCAGAUUGGGAGUGUGGAGGCUGCAAAAGGGGCGCUGGUCAUUUAUCUUCUGAGGAAGAGAUUUGACCUUCCAUCCUCACCCUUCUGGAAAUAAAGGGUAGAUUCAGAAAGCCAGAGCACCUCCAUAAACUUCCAGAAAUAUCGUCAGGAUGAAGCAUAUGAUCCAAGGGAAAUUAAAUCCACGUUCAGCGCCC